GAUGAAGAACGCAGCGAAAUGCGAUACUUGGUGUGAAUUGCAGAAUCCCGUGAACCAUCGAGUCUUUGAACGCAAGUUGCGCCCGAAGCCACUAGGCCGAGGGCACGCCUGCCUGGGCGUCACACGUCGUUGCCCCCCCCCCAUCUACUCCUUCGGGAUUGCGGGGGGCGGAUGAUGGCCUCCCGUGCGCCUAGCCGCGCGGUUGGCAUAAAUACCAAGUCCUCGGCGACGCACGCCACGACAAUCGGUGGUUGCGAAACCUCGGUUGCCCGUCGUGUGCGUUCGUCGCGCAUCGAGGGCUCGAAAAAAUGCUCGGCUCCGGCUCGGCUUUCAACGCGACCCCAGGUCAGGUGGGGUUACCCGCUGAAUUUAAGCAUAUCAAUAAGCGGAGGA
rnacentral:misc_RNA from 1 species